GACGAACGCUGGCGGCGUGCUUAACACAUGCAAGUCGUACGGUAAGGCCCUUUCGGGGGUCCACGAGUGGCGCACGGGUGAGUAACACGUGAGUAACCUGCCCACAACUUUGGGAUAACGCUAGGAAACUGGUGCUAAUACUGGAUAUGUGCUCCUGCUGCAUGGUGGGGGUUGGAAAGCUCCGGCGGUUGUGGAUGGACUCGCGGCCUAUCAGCUUGUUGGUGGGGUAGUGGCCUACCAAGGCGGCGACGGGUAGCCGGCCUGAGAGGGUGACCGGCCACAUUGGGACUGAGAUACGGCCCAGACUCCUACGGGAGGCAGCAGUGGGGAAUAUUGCACAAUGGGCGCAAGCCUGAUGCAGCAACGCCGCGGGCGGGAUGACGGCCUUCGGGUUGGAAACCGCUUUCAGCAGGGACGAAGCUUUUUGUGACGGUACCUGCAGAAGAAGCACCGGCUAACUACGUG
rnacentral:rRNA from 1 species